UGCAGUCGAGCGGAACGAAAAGGAGCUUGCUCCUUUGGCGUCGAGCGGCGGACGGGUGAGUAAUGCUUAGGAAUUUGCCCAGUCGAGGGGGAUAACUAUUGGAAACGAUAGCUAAUACCGCAUACGCCCUACGGGGGAAAAGAGGGGACCUUCGGGCCUUCUGCGAUUGGAUAAGCCUAAGUGAGAUUAGCUAGUUGGUGAGGUAAUGGCUCACCAAGGCGACGAUCUCUAGCUGGUCUGAGAGGAUGAUCAGCCACACUGGAACUGAGACACGGUCCAGACUCCUACGGGAGGCAGCAGUGGGGAAUAUUGCACAAUGGGCGCAAGCCUGAUGCAGCCAUGCCGCGUGUAUGAAGAAGGCCUUCGGGUUGUAAAGUACUUUCAGCAGUGAGGAAGGUUCAUGCGUUAAUAGCGUAUGGAUUUGACGUUAGCUGCAGAAGAAGCACCGGCUAACUCCGUGCCAGCAGCCGCGGUAAUACGGAGGGUGCGAGCGUUAAUCGGAAUUACUGGGCGUAAAGCGCAUGCAGGUGGUUUGUUAAGUCAGAUGUGAAAGCCCCAGGCUCAACCUGGGAAGGUCAUUUGAAACUGGCAAGCUAGAGUACUGUAGAGGGGGGUAGAAUUUCAGGUGUAGCGGUGAAAUGCGUAGAGAUCUGAAGGAAUACCAGUGGCGAAGGCGGCCCCCUGGACAGAUACUGACACUCAGAUGCGAAAGCGUGGGGAGCAAACAGGAUUA
rnacentral:rRNA from 1 species